CGUAGGUGGCGAGCGUUGUCCGGAAUUACUGGGUGUAAAGGGCGUGUAGGCGGGAAUGUAAGUCAGAUGUGAAAUUCCAGGGCUCAACCCUGGCGCUGCAUCUGAAACUAUGUUUCUUGAGUGCUGGAGAGGAAAGCGGAAUUCCUAGUGUAGCGGUGAAAUGCGUAGAUAUUAGGAGGAACACCAGUGGCGAAGGCGGCUUUCUGGACAGUAACUGACGCUGAGGCGCGAAAGCGUGGGGAGCAAACAGGAUUAGAUACCCUGGUAGUCCACGCUGUAAACGAUGGAUACUAGGUGUAGGAGGUAUCGACCCCUUCUGUGCCGCAGUUAACACAAUAAGUAUCCCACCUGGGGAGUACGGCCGCAAGGUUG
rnacentral:rRNA from 1 species